UCAACUGAAAGACGAUAACAGGAAACAGUUAAAGACUUUAUUAUGCAUUACGCCUGGGGAAGUUGCACUCAAGUUGUUUUAAGUUUGAAUAAGUGCAUAAAUCAAAAUUAAGCAAGAAUGCGGAGAUUUACAAAAAGACAUCGUCAUGCCGAGCCAUGCCAGAGCCCACUAGCCUAAACUUCAAGUACUCACACAUGUCGGCUUCCUUACUAACACUUUGCUUGCCCAUACUUUGCCAUUUAACAUGUAAUCAUGCUGUGAAUAAAAUGCCAAGAUGCACAAUAAA